AGGUGGCCAUGGCGAUGAGGCCCACCCCUUCCCAUACCGAACAGGGUAGUUAAGCUCAUCAGCGCCGAUGGUACUGCCACACAAGGUGGGAGAGUAGGUCGCCGCCUU
rnacentral:rRNA from 1 species